GAUGAACGCUGGCGGCGUGCCUAAUACAUGCAAGUCGAGCGAACGGACGAGAAGCUUGCUUCUCUGAUGUUAGCGGCGGACGGGUGAGUAACACGUGGAUAACCUACCUAUAAGACUGGGAUAACUUCGGGAAACCGUAGCUAAUACCGGAUAAUAUUUUGAACCGCAUGGUUCAAUAGUGAAAGACGGUCUUGCUGUCACUUAUAGAUGGAUCCGCGCUGCAUUAGCUAGUUGGUAAGGUAACGGCUUACCAAGGCAACGAUGCAUAGCCGACCUGAGAGGGUGAGCGGACACACUGGAACUGAGACACGGUCCAGACUCCUACGGGAGGCAGCAGUAGGGAAUCUUCCGCAAUGGGCGAAAGCCUGACGGAGCAACGCCGCGUGAGUGAUGAAGGUCUUCGGAUCGUAAAACUCUGUUAUUAGGGAAGAACAUAUGUGUAAGUAACUGUGCACAUCUUGACGGUACCUAAUCAGAAAGCCACGGCUAACUACGUG
rnacentral:rRNA from 1 species